UUAUAACAUUUUCCUCGGCAGUUAACUGCAUCCGGAUUUCUAAAACUUCGGCAGUUAACUGCCGAGGAACAU
rfam:Medicago truncatula strain A17 chromosome 5, whole genome shotgun sequence.